AGUGAACGCUGGCGGUAGGCCUAACACAUGCAAGUCGAACGGCAGCACAGUAAGAGCUUGCUCUUACGGGUGGCGAGUGGCGGACGGGUGAGGAAUACAUCGGAAUCUACUUUUUCGUGGGGGAUAACGUAGGGAAACUUACGCUAAUACCGCAUACGACCUACGGGUGAAAGCAGGGGAUCUUCGGACCUUGCGCGAUUGAAUGAGCCGAUAUCGGAUUAGCUAGUUGGCGGGGUAAAGGCCCACCAAGGCGACGAUCCGUAGCUGGUCUGAGAGGAUGAUCAGCCACACUGGAACUGAGACACGGUCCAGACUCCUACGGGAGGCAGCAGUGGGGAAUAUUGGACAAUGGGCGCAAGCCUGAUCCAGCCAUACCGCGUGGGUGAAGAAGGCCUUCGGGUUGUAAAGCCCUUUUGUUGGGAAAGAAAAGCAGCAGGUUAAUACCCCGCUGUUCUGACAGUACCCAAAGAAUAAGCACCGGCUAACUUCGUG
rnacentral:rRNA from 1 species